GAUGAACGCUGGCGGCGUGCCUAAUACAUGCAAGUCGAGCGAACGGACGAGAAGCUUGCUUCUCUGAUGUUAGCGGCGGACGGGUGAGUAACACGUGGAUAACCUACCUAUAAGACUGGGAUAACUUCGGGAAACCGGAGCUAAUACCGGAUAAUAUUUUGAACCGCAUGGUUCAAAAGUGAAAGACGGUCUUGCUGUCACUUAUAGAUGGAUCCGCGCUGCAUUAGCUAGUUGGUAAGGUAACGGCUUACCAAGGCAACGAUGCAUAGCCGACCUGAGAGGGUGAUCGGCCACACUGGAACUGAGACACGGUACAGACUCCUACGGGAGGCAGCAGUAGGGAAUCUUCCGCAAUGGGCGAAAGCCUGACGGAGCAACGCCGCGUGAGUGAUGAAGGGCUUCGGAUCGUAAAACUCUGUUAUUAGGGAAGAACAUAUGUGUAAGUAACUGUGCACAUCUUGACGGUACCUAAACAGAAAGCCACGGCUAACUACGU
rnacentral:rRNA from 1 species